rnacentral:misc_RNA from 1 species
AACGCACCUUGCGCUCCUUGGUAUUCCGAGGAGCAUGCCUGUUUGAGUGUCAGUAAAUUCUCAACCCCUCUGGUUUUUUGCUAGUUGGGGCUUGGAUGUUGGAGGUUUAUUGCUGGCCUGAAUCUUUCAAGGUCAGCUCCUCUAAAAUACAUUAGCAGAACCCUUUGCAAUCUGCUACAGGUGUGAUAAUUAUCAACAUCUAAGGUUGCUCUGUGUAUUGUUCAGCUACCAAUAGUCUGUAUGGACAAUAUUCAUUUACUGAACCUUUGACCUCAAAUCAGGUAGGACUACCCGCUGAACUUAA